CGCCGCCACCUGCCCCGGGCCGGCGCCAUGGUGAAGCUCGCUGCCAAGUGCCUGCUGGCAGGAGAUCCAGCUGUGGGCAAGAGUGCUUUAGCCCAGAUGUUUCGCAGCGAUGGGGCUCAUUUUCAGAAGAACUACACACUGACAGCGGGCAUAGAACUGUUGGUGAAGGCUGUAUCAGUUCCAGAGACAAGUGAUAGUGUGGAAUUCUUCAUUUUUGACUCUGCAGGAAAAGAUCUAUUUUCUGAAAUGCUGGAGAAACUGUGGGAGCAACCCAACGUCCUGUGCCUUGUGUAUGAUGUCACUAAUGAGCAAUCCUUCAACAACUGCAGCAAAUGGUUGGAGAAGCUGAGGGCUCAAGCAGUUGGGAUGCACAUCCCAGGUGUCUUAGUGGGGAAUAAAACAGACCUAGCUGAUCGUCGAGUUGUGGAACAGGAACAAGCACAGGAGUGGGCUGAGAAACAUGGCCUGGAAUACUGUGAGAUGUCAGUGAAGGAAAUGAAAAAUUUUGAGGCCCCAUUCCACAUUCUGGCAAAAUUAUUCCACCAACUGUACAAAGAGAAAGUGGAAACUUUUCACUCACUAGCCUGACUGGUAUGAUUUAUUUAUCCUCUAAGCUUCUUCUAGUACUGAGAAUCCUGCUGGAUUGAAUACAGAGAGAAGAAAAAAUAUGAGCUAUUUGCUACUUCAUGGUCAUCCUCUGGUAAUUCAAAAUAAACUAGAAAUAAGCAAGUGGAAAGACACUCUUCUGAAGCUGCUACCUCAGCAUUCCUUUCAUGUCUUCUAACUUGGUUCUCUGCUCAUUGAAAAUCUGCUAGGUUGGAGGAGGCGGAGAGUAAAAGGGGAGGACAGAAUGGAAAUUGCCAGCUCUUUGCUUUGAUAUCUUUUUGUCUGAACAGACUUCCUGCUGCUACAAGCAAGGAUUUAGAGGUUUGGAAAAGCAGAGAGGAAGCUGACAGGAUGUUUUUCGACUUAAGCCAGCCUUGAUACAUACACUGCAGGGCAGGACCGAUUUGGCCCUACCCCCUGAAAAGCAUUUUCAGGAGGAGGCUUACAGCCCUAAAAUCAACACCUGGAGACUGAGAUGUGUGGGGGCAGAGCUGGAUUUAGAAUCUGUUUCUUUCCUUCGGCGUGGCUCACUGUCCCUGCCUGGUGGGAGCUGCGUCGCGUCCAACCGCUGUCGCUUGGUGACGCAGUGCCCUCUGCUGGUCCCAGGUCACAGAAGUUCUCCAGAGGCUGCCACCUCCCUUGGAGUGAGCCAGGAACGGCUUCCUGCAGCCGCAUCCAAAUUGGAUAAACUGCAGAGUGGAGUCAAAUUGCGAGAAUACCUUUUCUAUUUUAAAGAUUAAAACUUAUAAAAAAUUGCCUUUUCUUCUAAAUGUCUUUAUCAUCUUACAUAUUGUUGUGUCAUUUUUGUCAGCUGAAUUUGGCAAUACCAUUCUGAUUAGGUGCAGUUCUCAAUCUGAAAAUCAGAGUCCUCUUAUUAAAGUCUCUCUGCUUGUCAUUGAAUUUCAGAUAAAAGACCAUGGUUCUGAUGUUGCUAGUGGAAACAGGACUAAGGAAAUGAAAGUCAGCCUGGCUAAGUUACUCUGACUCAGCUGUGUCUGGCUAGAAGUUUCAUAUUAGAAAGGGUAAAAGCCUAGAGAGAGUUGCUCUUUUGUGUGCAGUACUGAUGUUGCAUAUGUAAGAGUCUUUGCUAAUGCAGUAUGCAGAAGCACCUGUGGUGAGGUCCUGCCUUGUAACUGAGCCUAACACCAAGAAUUGCAAAAAUUUAACCAUUAUCUUCCAGAUUAUGGUAGACCCCCUUAGGCAAGGGAAGCUGAGUUUUGUAGAGACUAAGCACUGAGUGAUUUUUCAGGCAGUCUUUUCAGGAAUCUGUGUUUCAAGAGUUUUAUAUGUGUGGUUUAUAAUAACUUUUAUGCCCAGUGCUAGGAAAAGUACAUUAAAUUGAACAUAAGAAAUAUGGCUGCAGAUGUUGCAGCAGAGUUUAUGAAGCACUUGAAGAAUCUGGAGAAGCACUGCCCUCAUUUCACUGGCAACAGUGUGUUGAUGCUGGGAACUCACUAGGGAGUAUGAAUACCAGUUAAAGAGGGUGAGUAGGAACUCAAUCUACAAGAAGUGAAAACAAGAGGUUCUUUUGCUAGAAGCCAACUCAAAAAUGGCAGAACAAGGUGGGGAAACUCCUACUUUCUCCAAAAAAGGAAGGGGUCCUCCAUGAACUUAGGGUAACAAGAAGACUCACUCUUUUUAAAAUUGGAUUAGCAUUACUGGCAUUUGUGUCUUACAUGGGUUGUCUUGUUAAUCCUGGGUAUUUUCUGUUGAUUUACAUAGGCUGUAUAGAUGCUUGCUUGCAGGUGCUGAUGUCUCUGAAUAGUAAGAAUAAAAGCUAUUUUGGAUGCUGUGCUGAUCUUGUUAAAGAACUAAAGAAGGUUUGUUUUUAUUUGGUAUUUCAUUUCCCCCUGCUUCCAUUGAUGAUGUGAUCACAAAACAAGACACAUAUUUUUUCAUAUUGAAAAUAACAUAGCAGACGUGUAUGUCACCUGUGACAUUGUGUAUCUAGGGGGGAUGAAUGCCUUGGGAAUAGGUAAUAAAAUGAAUUCUGUGCAAUCUUUAACCAGGGAGCCCAUCUCUCUGCACCUGAAGGACCUCCCAUAAAUUCAAAUAAACACUCUGAAAGCACCAGUAAGAUGAAUACUGGUGAAUGCUGUUUUAUAAAAUAAAUGUAAAAGCUGGAGGAGCUCAUUAAGGGAAUGUUUGCAGUGGUGAUUUGUGAUUUAUAGGGAAGCUGCUUUUGAGAAGUUAGUGAAGAAAAAUGCUGCCCAUGCAGGGAAAGAUGUAUUGCCUAAGAGAGGAAAUGCAUGAUGUAAUUACCUUAUAGUAGGGAUUCACCCACUGCCCCUUUCCCUCUUCCACAGACCACAACUACAAUUAGAAAAGAAAUCGUGUCUAAAGCAUGUUGUCCAACUUGCUUCUUACAGGACUAUUUCAAGCACUAAUGUGGACACGAUUUAAUGCCUUUCAAAAUAGUGUGUUUGACAACAAUCUCAACCACUUCAAAUGCAUUUUAACAGCAUAAUAUAUUGUCCUUCCUGGCCAAUGUGCUGUAUAAUACCAGCCUGAUGCAAGUGGUGGUCAUUGCUAUUUUCCUGGCUUAAAUGUGACCUUGGUUGUAGAGGCUACGAGCGCAGAAGGGGUAAAAAACAUGGGAGCCAAACAUGGGAAGGUUGUGGGAAAUAGUUUUGUUUCUGUUUGAAGAAGUUCAGGGUAGUGACUAAGUGAGCUGGACCAGCAGGAUGAGUAAGAGUCUGGAGCCAUUAUUAAGUUGCUUCUCCCUGUUUACUAACUGUGGCAGUCACAUCUGUAGAACGAGGAUGCAUGUUUACUGCUUGUAGGCUUAGCAUCAGUCUGAAUUACAGAUGCUGUGGAGAACAGUGGGAGAAAGACAGGAAGCCUGUCUUCUGACCAGGAGGCCUCUUGUCUUCUUACAGCUCCCCUGCUUUGUCCAGCUGUGCAGUGCUGCAGGUGCUCAGCAUGAGUGUUACAGCACAGAAAAGACCCAGCUCAACCAGAACUGAAAUUUCAAAAGAAGGGGAAGGAAACAAACAAGCCUUUAACUGGUUUUAAUAGAUAUGUAGUCCUUUUUCCUGCUUGCUUGUUUGAUUAGACAAAACCAUUUCUUUCCUCCCGGGAGUCCCUCCUUCUUACCUUUCCUUUGGUCCUCAUGGGUCUGCACAAAAUCUCUGUUAUACUUGUGCCCUGCUUUACUUAGCUUGAUACAUCACCAGCUGAUUUUUUUUUUAAUCCUUCUAAUUUCUGCAUUAUCUAUUCCCAAGGCUGCAAGACAUUUCUUCUUAGAUUAAUAGACUAAAGGAAACAAAAGUGGAAUUUUUAGACAAAUUGUCUUGGAAAAAAAAGCCUUAAGAAGCUGUCUGACAUUCUGAAAUUUUACUGGAAAUUCGUUUGUGUAAAGUUGUCAUAUUAAAGAUGCUUUAAUGGUU